GUGAACAGCAACAGUGUGAGUGAACACCUCAAAAUUUCACCAGAUGAUCUGGAGAUAAUUUCCACUGAGAGUCAUGGGGGUCUGCCGCUGUUGGGAUGUUGGUUGCUGAGAAUCUAAGAAGAUGAAAGUGGACUGACAGCAAGCCCAUAUUUCAAUGAGGGCUGUGGUGGAGCAGACCAUGGGGCUGUGAAGAGCUGCUGAGGAAUUGUAAAUGAAAGUUAAAUAUUUUCAUGAGGACUGAGAGACCGAAGAUUCCUGACUACAAGUGUAAUGGAUCCAUACCUUAAAAGGAACAUAAAAUGUUCAUGGAGGCUUUCAUUAGCUGUCCAAUUAUGUAUGUAUACAGAUAAACAGAAGUGGAAAUCAGUUUACAUAACAAAAGAGUUCUGUAUCCAAUACAAUUGAUAAAAAGGGCAUAUAAUAUUUAAUUCUGCAUUAUUUGAACCAAAUGCAUCUUUUGAUGUGAA